CACUGCCCAUCACUCUCAAAACACCACCCAGGCCCCUGUCACAAGUACUUUCGCUCCAGCUGGCCUUAUAGUGUAUGAAACUAGUAUGAGAUCAAGUCAGAACCCUUUUUUCCCUUUUUUACUAGGGAAAAAAGUUUCUUUGUGGAUUAUAUAACCAGUUAUCAAAAUUUAAACAGCAAGUUACAAAAAUAGCAUCUUGGGGCGGCGCCUGUGGCUCAGUCGGUAAGGCGCCGGCCCCAUAUACCGAGGGUGGUGGGUUCAAACCCGGCCCCGGCUGAACUGCAACCAAAAAAAAAAAACAAAAUAGCCGGGCGUUGUGGCGGGCGCCUGUAGUCCCAGCUACUCGGGAGGCUAAGGCAGGAGAAUCGCUUAAGCCCGGGAGUUGGAGUUUGCUGUGAGCUGUGUGAUGCCAUGGCACUCUACCGAGGGCUAUAAAGUGAAACUCUGUCUCUACAAAAAAAAAAAAAAAACAGCAUCUUGACAAUGGCUGAGUUCUGACCAUGAGCUCUUACUUUUCUUGUUAGCAGCUAAAUCAGUUCUGUGCAACCAGGUUACUUAAGACUGUAUCUUUUUUACUUUGAAGGACAAAAUUUAUUGCACCUACCCUGUUUCCCUGAAAAUAAGACAUCCUCCGAAAAUAAGACGUCCCCUGAAAAUAAGACCUAGCGCAUCUUUGGGAGCACACCUUAAAAUAAGACACUGUCUUAUUUUCGGGGAAACAGGGUAGUACAAUUUUAUGGUACUAACACUCAAGGUGAUGAGCUAGGCAAAACUAGAAAGAGCAUUCAUCAUAUUUGUCAAAGCAGGGCAAACAGUGUGGGUGUUGAUCCCCAUAUGUGCACACCACACUCCUAGAGACGGGUGUGUCCUUUGCAAAUGCCUCAGCCUUCUUUCUGUUGCCCUCCAGAGGCCCAACCCUGAGGAAGACUGGCACACUGUGUUCACCUACCUGAGGAAAUACAUUUUUUAUUUCGUUGAUAAAAUAAGGUACAGGCUAGUCACCUAUGUGGGGGGUGGUUUUGUUUUGCUUUGUGAGAUGAUGUCUCACUCUGUCACUCAUACUGGAAUACAGUAGACCACUCACAGCUCACUGUAACCUUGAAUUCCUGGGUUCAAGCAAUUUCUCCUGCCUCAGACUCCCAACGUGCUGGAAUUACAGGCCUGAGCCACCACACCAAGUUUGGUGCCUUGUUUUUAUAAAGUUUUAUUGGAACACAGCCACACCCACUCCUUUCUGCCACAGCAGCAGAGUCUAAAAUAUUUACCAUCUGCCCUUUAAAAUACCAUUUGCCUACCUCUUCUGUAGAUCACGGGAAUUAUAUUUUAAUUGCAUUUUGUAGGAACUUAUUACUUUCCCCCUUUUCAGUUAUAUCUUCCAGAAGCCAAUUCUGAAUUAAUUGGAAAAAUAAUUUGGCCUCAAUGGAAUUUUCUGUUGGCCACAACUCCACUUAUGAAAUGAGCUACUGAAGUUUCCCUUCUCCUACCUAAAGCCAGUUGAAGAAUGCACAAUCUACUUGGAAAAAACACUCAAAUUACGAAAAGAAUUAGUAUAUCUCUUUAAAUUCAAGCCAUCUCAACACAGCAGAAGGCUCCCUGCCACCCCAGACGCCAGCGAAGGGCAGGGCGAGUGCUGGGAAAACUCACCGUGCCGUGUCCGUUGGCCUCAAA